rnacentral:rRNA from 1 species
CGUACAGAACCUUCCUCUAAGUGGGGGAUAGCCCGGAGAAAUCCGGAUUAAUACCCCAUAGUAUUAUUGUGUGGCAUCACAUGAUGAUUAAAGAUUUAUUGCUUAGAGAUGGCUGUGCGGCUGAUUAGGUAGUUGGCGGGGUAAAGGCCCACCAAGCCUGCGAUCAGUAACUGGUGUGAGAGCACGACCAGUCACACGGGCACUGAGACACGGGCCCG